rnacentral:misc_RNA from 1 species
GAUAUUUAUGAGGCCAAGGCUGCGUUGAUGAUGUCUUGUGAACGGAAAACUGGAAAAGAAAAGAAACAGAGAGGGCUAGAGGAAAAUCAAGGGGGGAACCGAGGAGGGGUGAUGUUCUCUGUAGAGGGGAAGAGAAGAGAGAAACACAAGGAGAGUGGAGAGAGGCGUGUUUUGCAGAGGGAAGGCAGAAGGACAUAGGUUCAGGUAGACAAAUCACUUAUAUACGCUAAUCCUAACUUAAAACGAUGCGUUUUUAAAAUAUCAGUUCAGUUUAUACAGUUUUUUGAGUACAAAAACUGAACCGAAUCAAAUAAAUCU